rnacentral:rRNA from 1 species
CGCUGGCGGCGUGCUUCAUACAUGCAAGUCGAACGAGAAUCUGGCUUCGGGUCAGAGGAAAGUGGCGGACGGGUGAGUAAAAUGUAGAGAAUCUGCCCUAGAGGUGGGACAACAGAGGGAAACUUCUGCUAAUACCGCAUAUGCGCGUAGUUGAGAUACUAUUCGUGAAAACUCCGGUGCUCUGGGAUGAGUCUGCAUCUGAUUAGCUAGUAGGCGGUGUAAUGGACCACCUAGGCGACGAUCAGUAGCUGGUUUGAGAGGAUGAUCAGCCACAAUGGGACUGAGACACGGCCCAUACUCCUACGGGAGGCAGCAGUAGGGAAUUUUGCGCAAUGGGGGAAACCCUGACGCCAGCAACGCCGCGUGAUUGAAGAAGCCCUUCGGGGUGUAAAGAUCUGUCAGUGGGGACGAAACUUGACGGUACCCACAGAGGAAGCAUCGGCUAACUCCGUGCCAGCAGCGGC